rfam:Streptomyces sp. Mg1, complete genome.
CUUGACCGAGCCCAGCCAGAGCGGGCGUUGCCGCGACUCCCGCCCGUAGACGGCCAGGAACGCCUCCGCCUC